UCGCCUGAUCAACAAG
rnacentral:tRNA from 5 species